AUUAAAGCAUUUAAUGGAAAUCUUGGUAAAAAGUAGUGGACGUCGCGUGACGAAACAUUGUAGGGAGGCAUUGGCUUGUGAUUUACAGGUGUCCUUUGAGUAAACUUAACUAUUUUAAAACUAGUGUGAAUUGAAUCAUCUUAGUAGCACUUAAAAGAAAUCAAACGAGAAACCAUUAAUACUGGUGAAUGAAAAUGGUUGUAGCUAAGUUUAUAUUAAUUUAUUUAGAAAGUCUUAAUAAGGUUCGAGUCCUGUAUAAAAUAGAGAUAUAAAUUAUUUAAGUAAUGAGAGAUGUUACAUGAAUAUAGGAGAACCACCUUCUAAGCUGUUUAUGUGCUUUUUGACCGAUAGUGAACGAGUACCGUGAGGGAAAGAUAAUGAAGAAUCAACUAAUAAGGAUUCAUUAAAGAAAUUGAGUGUUUAUUAAUUUUCGAUGUUUUUGUCUACGAAGUGCCUUUUGCAUAAUGAAUCAGUAAGUUAAUUAGUAUAGCAAGCUUAAGUAGAAAUAUAGAGGCUUUUAAGAGUUAUAUAUAUUAAACCUGAAACCAAGUGAUCUAACUGGAAACAAGUUGAAGAUUUAGUAAUAUAAGUUGAAGGACUGUACUUGUGUCUGUGGCAAAAGAUAAAGAUGAUUUCUAGUUAGGGGCGAAAAACCAAUCAAACUUGGCGAUAGCCGGUUUUUCACGAAAUGUAUUUUAGUACUGUGUCAUUUUUGUAAGUUUAAAGUAGAGUACAAAUUAAAUAAGAGGAUUUAAAAAUUUAUCAAAUUUAGUUUAACUCCUAAUUUUAAUUUAAUGUAAAAUGAUAAACAGUUUUUAGGCGAUAAGGUUUAAAAACGAAAGGAAAACAAUCCAGCUUAUAUGCUAAGAUCUCAAAAUUCUAGUUUAGUGGAAAGGUUUUUGAAAUAACAAAUUCUUUAUUUAGGAUAAGCUUAGAAGCAGCUAUUCAUUAGAAAGUGCGUUUUAGCAUAUUAUUUUUAUUUCAAAAACCGAAAAUUUAUAGAGACUUAAAUUAGAUAUCGAAGCGAUAAAUUAGUUUUUUGAAAUUAAUGGUAGUGAAAUGUUCUGUUUGUUUUUUAUUAAUGUAAAUAAUAGGAAAUCAGAAGUACUAAUGCUGAUAUGAGUAACGUAAACUAUGUACUAGAAUCAUAGUCACUUUAUAUCUAGGGGUUUCAAUGUAGUUUUAAACUCAUUGAGUUAGUCGGUCCUUAAGGGGUGAGUGAAAACUGUACCUGAUAGGGAGACUAUUUGUAUUUAUUUAGCAAAUAAGAAAUUGAAAUUAAAGAAUGUUUUGAAUUUAAAGGUAAAUGCAUUCAACUUUUCUUGAAAAAAUUACAAUAUGUAGAGACCGUACUUAAACCGACACUGGUAGAUUUAUUAGAAAGAUUAAAGUGAAUGAAUAAAUUAUAUUGAAGGAACUCGGCAAAUUAACUCUGUACGUUUGCAAUAAAGAGGACCAUAAUUAGUAAUGGUAACAUGUAAAAAAAGCAACGACUGGUUAACAAAACCAUAGGACUCUGCUAAUUAAAAAAAGAUGUAUAGGGUCUGACGUCUGCCCAGUGCUUGAAAGUGAAUAUUUUUUGUUAAAGCAUUAAGUUUAAUCUUAAGUAAACGGCGGUUCUAACUAUAAGAAUCCUUAGGUAGCGAAAUUCCUUGGCGGGUAAAUUCCGUCCUGCAUGAAUGACGUAACGAUUGCUUUGCUGUCUCCAAUAUAAAUUCAGUGAAAUUACAUAAUCCAUGAAAAUGUGGAUUUCCUAUAAUAAGACGGGAAGACCCUAGAUCCUUUACUCUAAUUUUUAUAUUGUAAAAAAUUAAGAUUUAGUGAAGAAUAAGUGGGAAUACUAAUAGUAUAAAAAUGGGAUACCACUCUUUAAUAUUAAGGUUUUUACUUAAAUUUAACAAAUGAAUUUGUUAGAGACAGUAUGAAAAAGGGAGUUUACUUGGGACGAGUACCUCCUAAAGUGUAACGGAGGUGUACAUUUAAGGUAGAUUAAAACUAUUAAAUUUAAUAGUGAAAUGUAUAAUGGCUCAAAUUUGCUUAACAAUGAGAUUAAUAAAUCAAAUUGAAACGAGAGUUAGUCAUAGUGAUCCGAUAUUAAUGUGUGGAGAUGAUAUUGCUUAACAAAUAAAAGGAACUCUAGGGAUAACAGAUUUAUCAUGAUUUAAAGUUCUUAUUGAAAUCAUGGUUUGAUACCUCGAUGUCGACUCAUUUUAUCCUGAAAUUGAAGUGAAUUUCAAGGGUCUAGUUGUUCGCUAGUUAAAAAGGUACGUGAGUUGGGUUCAGAACGUCGUGAGACAGUUCGGUCCCUAUCUAUUAUAGGAUAGAAAAGUUUUAUGAAUUAUUUUUAGUACGAGAGGACCGAAAUAUUUUAACCGCUGGUAUAUUGGUUGUUAAGACCAUUAGCAUUGCCAAUUAGCUAUGUUAAUAUCUAUAAAUACUGAAUGAAUCAAAAGUAUCAAGAGAUGUUUAAGACUUUUCAAGAAUAAUCUAAAAGAUUAUUAGAUAGAUCGAUUUGAAAUGUUUUAUUUUGU
rnacentral:rRNA from 1 species